rnacentral:rRNA from 1 species
CGGGACGACGCGGUAGACUUGCUCCCUGAUGUUAGCGGCGGACGGGUGAGUAACACGUGGGUAACCUGCCUGUAAGACUGGGAUAACUCCGGGAAACCGGGGCUAAUACCGGAUGGUUGUUUGAACCGCAUGGUUCAAACAUAAAAGGUGGCUUCGGCUACCACUUACAGAUGGACCCGCGGCGCAUUAGCUAGUUGGUGAGGUAACGGCUCACCAAGGCAACGAUGCGUAGCCGACCUGAGAGGGUGAUCGGCCACACUGGGACUGAGACACGGCCCGACUCCUACGGGAGGCAGCAGUAGGGAAUCUUCCGCUAUGGACGAAAGUCUGACGGAGCAACCCCGCGUGAGUGAUGAAGGUUUUCAUAUCAAAACUCUCUGUUUAAGGAAAAAACAAAUUA